rnacentral:rRNA from 1 species
GUGCCAGCGCCGCGGUAAUACCGGCAGCCCGAGUGAUGGCCGAUCUUAUUGGGCCUAAAGCGUCCGUAGCAGGCCGCGCAAGUCCAUCGGAAAAUCCACCCGCCCAACGGGUGGGCGUCCGGUGGAAACUGCGUGGCUUGGGACCGGGAGGCCUGAGGGGUACGAUCGGGGUAGGAGUGAAAUCCUGUAAUCCCGCUCGGACCGCCGAUGGGGAAACCACCUCAGGAGAACGGAUCCGACAGUGAGGGACGAAAGCCAGGGUCUCGAACCGGAUUAGAAACCCCUGUAGUCC